rnacentral:rRNA from 1 species
CUGCAGCCGCGGUAAUACGUAGGGUGCGAGCGUUAAUCGGAUUUACUGGGCGUAAAGCGUGCGCAGGCGGCCCGUUAAGACAGGUGUGAAAUCCCUGGGCUCAACCUAGGAAUUGCGCUUGUGACUGGCGGGCUCGAGUACGGUAGAGGGGGGUGGAAUUCCUGGUGUAGCAGUGAAAUGCGUAGAGAUCAGGAGGAACACCGAUGGCGAAGGCAGCCCCCUGGGCCUGUACUGACGCUCAUGCACGAAAGCGUGGGGAGCAAACAGGAUUAGAUACCCUGGUAGUCCACGCCCUAAACGAUGGGUACUAGCCGUUUGGUGCGCGAUAGCGCUGAGUGGCGAAGCUAACGCGUGAAGUACCCCGCCUGGGGAGUACGGCCGCAAGGUUGAAACUUAAAGGAAUUGGCGGG